rnacentral:rRNA from 1 species
UACAGAGGUGGCAAGCGUUGUUCGGAAUUACUGGGCGUAAAGAGCUCGUAGGCGGUUUGUUGCGUCGGCUGUGAAAUCCCGAGGCUCAACCUCGGGUCUGCAGUCGAUACGAGCAAACUAGAGUGUUGCAGGGGAGACUGGAAUUCCUGGUGUAGCGGUGAAAUGCGCAGAUAUCAGGAGGAACACCAAUGGCGAAGGCAGCUCGCUGGAACGGUACUGACGCUGAGGCGCGAAAGCGUGGGGAGCGAACAGG